UGUACAUAAUUUUUAAGAUUUCGUAUAAGAUAUGUUAAGAUGUCAUUAAAGCUUGUUCAUACUACAUAGUUGCUCUGUUCUACAUCUUUUCUUGAUAAUGAAGAUCUGUGUGUUUAUUACACUUUCGCAAGAGUUAUAUUAAUUCUUCUUGAAGUACAUACCUAUUUUUUGAAAUUUAUGAUGAUUGUUUUCAGUUGCUGGAAGAUAUCAUGCUCAGAAUAUAAAUGUGUAUAGGUCUUCUGCAUGAGACUCAUCUAAGUAAAACAACUCGAAUUCCGAACAUUUUUUGUAAACAAAACGAAAACCUGAGAUGGGGUUGUAAAGCCCUUGCACAAAAUAACCAAAUGCCAAUAACUUUUUGAAAGGUCUAGGAUAGUAGUAGGGUCUAACCAUUUAAUGUAUAUAGAUCAGGUCAUUUUUGUUUUAUGUCAGGUUUUUCGAAAAAGUGAUGGAUUGAUCAGAAUUUAGGAUAUUAAUGAGCUUGCUAGAUCCAUCCACCGGGUACCCACAACUAAUAGGUAUCAAGAGGUAGUGAGAUCCAACUCAUCAAUAACAAAUAUAUUUUAUUUUUCUAUUGAUAGUGGGUACUGGGUAGUUUACCCUCCGGGUUAUUUAAGUUUUUUUUCUAAUAAUAAUAGAAGGUGGGUUGUAAAAAAGAAAUAGCGUUAGAAGUUGUUGGAUCUCUAACCGGAAAGGUCAAGGAAAUUGGUAGGAUUUAAUGUAUAGACCAGGUCAUUAUUGAUUUAUGAUAGGUUUUUCAAAAGGGUGAUGGAUUAUAAUUAGGGAAUUUAGGAUAUUAGUAUAAGGUGAGUCAAAAUAGAAGAGAAAAAAAUAACAUUAACAAUUGUUGGAUCUCUAACUUGAACUCAAGGCUCUUUGAAAUAGUCACCUUUGCAAGUAUAUUGAACUAACUCAAACUCUUUUUUUGUCUUAUAUGUUACACAGUUUAAUAUAAAUAGAGUUUUUGACAAUUUAAUAUGGUGCAAACUUAAAAGGGGCAUAGGGCGAAGAUUGAUGUUUAUUCAUCAACUUAUUUAGAUCACAUUAGUUUCGAUCAUUGUGUUCAGUCCCACAUUUUCUUUUUCAGGCGAGUUCAGUUCGGUUCCAUUAAGUUGGGAAGAACCGGCUCUUGAAGCAGGGAAUAUACCAAUUAUUUGAUUGGGUCUUUUUCAAACAACCUUAUGUCUAGACCAAAGUAUUACUGUAGUUAGGACUUAGGAGUCAGGGGUAUCACACAGGUCCCCCAUCAAUCUAAAACAGACCAUCCUAUUGGUUGAUAUUUUUCUAUAGCUGUCAAAAUGGCCUCAGAUACCGUACCUUACACUUCUCUAUAGAAUUGUGCAAUAUGAAGAUAAAACCUUGGGUAAGACUCAGCAUGAAUUGUGGACCAUAUUGUUCUUGAAUUUUCAAUGACCCUAAAUAAAAUACUUCCUCUGGUUCAAAUUAGAGUCUGCACUUCUUGUUUUCACACUAUUUAAUGCAAAAUGCAUUGAUAGGAUUCAAACAAGAUCUUAUCCGACUAUUUAUAAUAUUGAACAAACACAAAGUUUUGGGUUAUAUCCAGCAUAUAAAAUAGUCUACCCCAUUCUAUUUAAAAUGACUUUGUAAAGUCAAGUUUUUGUCUCGGCCACUCCGAUGAUUAAGCCACCGUUGCUUAACAUUAUUAGUCUACCCCAUUGCGCGUUAAGAAUGUGUUUGAAAAGUCUUCUAUUUUGUAUAUGAAUUAUGCACUCCUAGUCUACAUGAACUUUAGCUCGCAAGAUUUUAAUCAUUCAUUAAGAAAUAUGGUAUCCUGCUUGUUUGCUUUGCACUUUCCCUUCAUAACCUUCUUCAUGUUCUUAUCUAUUUCCCUCUCAAACGGCGAGGAUGCGAACUACACAGCAUGUUCUAGAACAUACUCGUGUGGUAAACUCCAAAACAUAGGGUACCCCUUUUGGGGGGACAACAGGCCUAAGUACUGUGGAAUCCCAGAGCUAAUGCUCAAUUGUUAUGCAGGUGAAGGUCCCCCUCAUACUAUUAUGAAUGUUAUUCGGAAUUAUAAUAAAUAUGUUUCAUACUCUGCAUUAACUGUGCUUUGGAUUAAUACACAUUCCUACACCAUGAGUUUUUCGUUACAAAACCGGUUGAACACAUGUUAUGUGCAGAGUUCUAAAGGCGUAGCCUUGCUUCAGACUCUGAAGCCAGACACCAAUACCCGGAAUAUUACCUUAUUCUAUAGUUGCAAUCGCAGUCUAAUUGAUAUAAGUUUUUCCAGGAAUCAGCACUUCUAUGCUUUUAACUGCUCCAACAUUGAUUAUACCAAUGGUUCUGCUUAUUACUUUGUUCAACAAUCAGAUAUCAGCAAGAUGGCUAAGUUGGCCUUGUGUGGGAACAAUGUUACUUUUCUGGUAAAUAAGAGAGGGUUGGAUGAACUGAAACGCACAAAUUACUCAAGUUUGAGUGUCUUGACAGAAUGGCCCGUUACAAUGAACUACACGACACACUUCUCAGCCUGUUCUGAGUGUAAGAAGUCUGGUGGCAGAUGCGGGUCAUCUGGAGAUCUUGUUUCAUAUUCUUCUACGUUUCUAUGUUAUUGCCGUGAUGGACAGCAACCAUCUGUAUGUCAAAAUAACAGGAAUAAAAUGUCAGUAUUGUUAAUUCUGGUACCAGGCACUGGAGUUCUAGUUGGAGUUGUAGCUAUCAUAGUCUUCUGGCAACAUAAGAAGAGAAAAGUUGGUCAUCCAAAUUUAAUGACUGAGAAUGAUUCUUUCGACUGUAGUCCAUCAGAAGUUGAAGAGGGAAGCAUUUACCUUGACGUACCACUCUUCUCCUACAGUGAACUCAUUGAAGCCACCGACAAUUUUGAUCAAUCAAAAGUACUUGGCACUGGUGGCCACGGGAUAGUAUAUUAUGGCAGACUAACAGAUGGAAGGGAAGUAGCUGUAAAACGUCUGUGUGAGAAGAACUGUGAAAGGGUUCAACAGUUCAUGAACGAAGUUCAGAUACUUACUCGUAUGAAACACCCAAACCUUGUGACUCUUUACGGCUGCUCUUCCCGGCACUGCAGGGAACUACUCCUUGUGUACGAGUAUGUGAAAAACGGCACAGUAGCCGAUCACUUGUCUGGUAAAAAUGCAAAAUCAGGAUCUCUUCCAUGGCCAGUUCGCCUGAGGAUUGCAAUUGAAACUGCUGCUGCACUUUCUUACCUUCACGCUUCUGGCAUCAUACACCGUGAUGUCAAAACUAAUAACCUUCUCCUUGACUGCAACUUCAGUGUAAAAGUGGCUGAUUUUGGGCUUUCGAGACUCUUCCCCGACCUUGUAACUCAUGUUUCAACGGCUCCACAGGGAACUCCUGGUUACGUAGACCCAGAGUAUAGCCAGUGUUAUCAGCUGACAGACAAGAGUGAUGUUUACAGUUUUGGUGUUGUUCUCAUUGAGCUCAUUUCUUCUAUGCCAGCAGUUGACAUCAACAGGCAUAGGCAUGAGAUCAACUUAUCUAGCUAUGCAAUGAAACGGAUCCAACGGUGUGCAUUUGAUGAGUUGGUGGAACCCCAACUUGGGUUCGCAUCAGAUUUCAAGGUUAGGAGGAUGACUAUAUUGGUGGCAGAGCUUGCAUUCAGGUGUCUACAACAUGACAAGGACUUCAGGCCCUCAAUGGACGAGGUUUUGGAGGCUCUUAAGAGGAUUGAAUCCAUUGAUUAUGAAGAAUUAGAGGCCGAAGAGAUGGCCAAUUCUGAAACACUGCGAGCUGAAGAGACGUAUCAAAAUGCUCAGACGGAGGAUUGUGAAGUAUUGCAGACAAAAGAGACAGCUAAAUAUGCCGUGGUAGAGGGGGUGGAAACGCUUUUUAGUGAUUCUACUUACACACGAACUUCUGCGGAGGAUGAUCAUGCACUUCUGUUGCGUAAUUUUCGACAAUAUUCAUCUUCCCCAAGUUUAAUGGAAAAUUGGGUUAGUGGAUCCAGUACAUCUAGCAUAUGCAAAUAAGCGGGAUACAAGGCCAACUUCACAUCGGUAUCCUGGUGCCAGAUGCGGGUCAACUGAGGAUUCAUCUUCACUCUUCAGAUAAGUUUCGGUGUCAUCGCCGUGAUGGACCUCAGGCUCACGCUCAGUCAAGAAUUUUGUUGCUCGGACUUGAGCUAGGUAGGGAUGGAGCAAGGCCACAGCUCAAAGGGAGGGGUGGUGUGCGGGUAGGGUAAGGGCUGAUCCGGGCUCAAAAAAUUGGGCUCAAAUAGGCUGGGCCCUUUCAACCCGCUCCAACCCGACUUGACCUGUUUAUAGUUGAGAUGUCUUAUAAUUUAAUUACUUGUAUUUGUCAUUUAUAAACAGAGUAUUGAACUAUUGUAAAUCUUUAAUAAUGUAUCAUAAUACAAACAACAAAUGAU